rnacentral:lncRNA from 1 species
AAGGAGUAUGAGCAAGUCUUAAAUGCCAAAUGUAAUUCAUGUCAGUUGUAACAACAUUAUUAUAGAUGGAACUAUAUACAUGUGAAGGCAAUGGAACAGUCUUGCUAUCAGACAAAAUGUCAUCAUUACAAGAAGCAGACACUGAACAAACAGAAGUAGAGGAACAAUUAAUAGAGGAAGAAGAGGAAGGAGGAACCCAAGCCAGU